GUUCUUACGCGGCGAACCGGAUCCUACUCUCACCAUAUGAUCGGCCACAUCAUCCCCGCCCGCCUUCCCCGGCCGUGCUUAUCUUCAAUCGCAAUUUUGAAGCAAAGAUUUUAUUCUCUCUACUUUGUUAAAAAUUUGUGUCGUUGUCUUUGUGCAAAUUGAGCUGCGAAGAGAGAUUUGGAUUCCACAGUUGAAUAGAUUAGUCUCUUUGGAG
rnacentral:misc_RNA from 1 species